rnacentral:rRNA from 1 species
CACGUAGGGGGCAAGCGUUGUCCGGAUUUAUUGGGCGUAAAGAGCUCGUAGGCGGUUCGGCAAGUCAGGUGUGAAACCCCCAGCUCAACCUGGGGACGCCACCCGAUACUGCUGUGACUUGAGUCCGGUAGGGGGAGCGUGGGAAUUCCUGGUGUAGCGGUGAAAUGCGCAGAUAUCAGGAGGAACACCAGCGGCGAAGGCGGCGCUCUGGGCCGGAACUGACGCUGAGGAGCGAAAGCGUGGGUAGCAAACAGG